rnacentral:lncRNA from 1 species
UCGAUGUUUUCUCAAAUUGGACGUUUUCAAUGACUUCAAGUUGUUCUAAAACUUUUGCUCCACUUUGCUCCUUAGGUGAUGAUCGUCGGUCGGACUUACCAUCAAAGUAUUGGUUGUAAUGGAUUCUCUAAGAAUGAUUACCAGAUAGAAAUCACUGAUGAUCCAUGAAGCAUAUUUUUCAUCCAUGCUUUAAAUGUAAGGAGGAUGCAUCCUUGUUGCAUAUUGGACAUGCC